GAUGAACGCUGGCGGCGUGCCUAAUACAUGCAAGUCGAGCGAACAGACGAGGUGCUUGCUCCUCUGACGUUAGCGGCGGACGGGUGAGUAACACGUGGAUCACCUACCUAUAAGACUGGGAUAACUUCGGGAAACCGGAUCUAAUACCGGAUAAUAUAUUGAACCGCAUGGUUCAAUAGUGAAAGACGGUUUUGCUGUCACUUAUAGACGGUUCCGCGCCGGAUUAGCUAGUUGGUAAGGUAACGGCUUACCAAGGCAACGAUGCGUAGCCGACCUGAGAGGGUGAUCGGCCACACUGGAACUGGGACACGGUCAAGUCUCCUACGGGAGGCAGCAGUAGGGAAUCUGCCGCAAUGGGCGAAAGCCUGACGGAGCAACGCCGCGUGAGUGAUGAAGGUCUUCGGAUCGUAAAGCUCUGUUAUUAGGUAAGAACAAAUGUGUAAGUAAAUAUGCACGUCUUGACGGUACCUAAUCAGAAAGCAACGGCUAACUACGUG
rnacentral:rRNA from 1 species